rnacentral:rRNA from 1 species
GAUGAACGCUGGCGGCGUGCCUAAUACAUGCAAGUCGAGCGAACGGACGAGAAGCUUGCUUCUCUGAUGUUAGCGGCGGACGGGUGAGUAACACGUGGAUAACCUACCUAUAAGACUGGGAUAACUUCGGGAAACCGGAGCUAAUACCGGAUGAUAUUUUGAACCGCAUGGUUCAAAAGUGAAAGACGGUCUUGCUGUCACUUAUAGAUGGAUCCGCGCUGCAUUAGCUAGUUGGUAAGGUAACGCCUUACCAAGGCAACGAUGCAUAGCCGACCUGAGAGGGUGUGCGGCCACACUGAAAAUGAGAAACGGUCCAGAUACCAACGGGAGGCAGCAGUAGGGAAUCUUCAGCAAAGGGCGAAAGCGUGACGGAGCGACGCAGCAUGAGAGUAGAAGGACUACGGGUCGUAAAACGCUGUUAUUAGGGAAGAACAGAUGUGAAAGUAACAGUGCACAUCUGGUCGGUACGUAAGCAGAAGGCAACGGAGAACUACGC